UACAGAGGGUGCAAGCGUUAAGCGGAAUUACUGGGCGUAAAGCGCGCGUAGGUGGUUUGUUAAGUUGGAUGUGAAAUCCCCGGGCUCAACCUGGGAACUGCAUUCAAAACUGACAAGCUAGAGUAUGGUAGAGGGUGGUGGAAUUUCCUGUGUAGCGGUGAAAUGCGUAGAUAUAGGAAGGAACACCAGUGGCGAAGGCGACCACCUGGACUGAUACUGACACUGAGGUGCGAAAGCGUGGGGAGCAAACAGG
rnacentral:rRNA from 1 species